rnacentral:scRNA from 1 species
GAAACGGCCAGCAUCUUCCGGGUGGUGGCUCA